rnacentral:lncRNA from 1 species
AUGGCAAUAAAUUGGCAAGCCUGUGCUUUGUCAGUGGACAGUUCUGGCAAAGGAGGGGCUGAGGACAUCGCUGCACACAGUGUAUCACGCACUGCAGGAGAAUGGUACCUGAGCAGUACUGUUUACUCUUAUGUAUUUACUCUUUACCUCUUCAUGUAACUUACUAUCUUUGAUUAAAAAUGCAGUCUGAUCUCCCCACACUUGGCUUUUUUUUUCCUCUCAUUACGCUUCAUAGCCACUUUUGUGUCAUUUACACAAUGCCUUGCAGCCUAGGAGAACUGCUUCCUUUAAAGUGAUUCCAGAUUAAAGUACUUUGCACCUGUCAUUUGCUGCCACCCCAACCCAAUCUCUUUUUUUUUUUUUUUUUUUUUUCCUCAUUCCAGUUGGGUUUUUGUUUGUUUGUUUGUUUGUUUGUUUGUUUUAUGGUGAUGCACCAGAAGUUUAACAGAGGAACUGAUCUGGACUACAAAUAACUUCAUUUUAUUUUAUGUUAAGCAGGCUUCAUUAGCAGUCAUGUUGUACGGUACUGUUGAUGAUUUUCUGCAGCAAAUAUGAAAACACCAGAAAAAUGGUGUGUGCCUGAUCCUGGGGAGAAAGAACAAAUGUGACCGUUCAGUGCAGUAGCAUUGCCAUUAGGGAAAGGAUAACUGGAAGCAUCACCUGGUGAACAUAGCUUUCUCAUGAUAUUUUAAAAUGACUGUACAAACUACAUAAGUAUUGUGGCACCUGUUUUACAUAAGUAAAUUUGAAAAACCAGUUAGUAGAAACUGACGCUAGGAGACCAAUAGUCUGAUUUUUCAGUUCUAAUUCAUAAGGGAUUGUCACUUCCACCUUUGUCUCACUCCUUUCUUCCUUUUGUUUCUAGCUCUUCCAACUUUUUUUCUUUUUUUUUUUUUUUCACUCUUUUUUUUUCCUUUAUAUUUUAUAACACCAUUUUAUCAUUUUAAGUAAGUCUGCUACUGGCAGAAAAACAAGGACAUGCUUAUUAAAUGUUCUUGACCUCUCCCAAAAUCUGUUUUGUUGGUUUUGGUGGUGAGCUUUUUGAUUGUUUGUUUGUUUGAUUUUUCCCUGUCUCCUUUUAAGAGAAGUUUGUGGAUAUCUUACACCUUUCCAGUUAUAAGUCUCUAAAUACAGUAAUGGUUGUGUAUUUGUCACCUCA